CCUCUCCCUGGCGGAGGCCUGCGCCAGCCGCACGAUUCGGCUGGUCGACGGCCACCUCGCGUUCGACUCCCGGACGGAGGCC
rnacentral:tRNA from 1 species